GAGAACUCGGGUGAAGGAACUAGGCAAAAUGGUACCGUAACUUCGGGAGAAGGUACGCUCUUGAUGGUGAAGUCCCUCGCGGAUGGAGCUGACGAGAGUCGCAGAUACCAGGUGGCUGCAACUGUUUAUUAAAAACACAGCACUGUGCAAAAUCGUAAGAUGACGUAUACGGUGUGACGCCUGCCCGGUGCCGGAAGGUUAAUUGAUGGGGUUAGACUUCGGUCGAAGCUCUUGAUCGAAGCCCCGGUAAACGGCGGCCGUAACUAUAACGGUCCUAAGGUAGCGAAAUUCCUUGUCGGGUAAGUUCCGACCUGCACGAAUGGCGUAAUGAUGGCCACGCUGUCUCCACCCGAGACUCAGUGAAAUUGAAAUCGCUGUGAAGAUGCAGUCGUACGCCAGUAUGUGUGGAGCCGUCCUUGAAAUACCACCCUUGUAGUGUUGAUGUUCUAACGUCGACCCCUAAUCGGGGUUGCGGACAGUGCCUGGUGGGUAGUUUGACUGGGGCGGUCUCCUCCCAAAGAGUAACGGAGGAGCACGAAGGUGGGCUAAUCACGGUUGGACAUCGUGAGGUUAGUGCAAUGGCAUAAGCCCGCUUGACUGCGAGAAUGACAAUUCGAGCAGGUGCGAAAGCAGGUCAUAGUGAUCCGGUGGUUCUGAAUGGAAGGGCCAUCGCUCAACGGAUAAAAGGUACUCCGGGGAUAACAGGCUGAUACCGCCCAAGAGUUCAUAUCGACGGCGGUGUUUGGCACCUCGAUGUCGGCUCAUCACAUCCUGGGGCUGAAGUCGGUCCCAAGGGUAUGGCUGUUCGCCAUUUAAAGUGGUACGCGAGCUGGGUUUAGAACGUCGUGAGACAGUUCGGUCCCUAUCUGCCGUGGGCGUUGGAAGAUUGAAGGGGGCUGCUCCUAGUACGAGAGGACCGGAGUGGACGAACCUCUGGUGUUCGGGUUGUGUCGCCAGACGCAUUGCCCGGUAGCUAAGUUCGGAAUCGAUAACCGCUGAAAGCAUCUAAGCGGGAAGCGAGCCCUGAGAUGAGUCUUCCCUGAUACUUUAAGUAUCCUAAAGGGUUGUCGGAGACUACGACGUUGAUAGGUCAGGUGUGUAAGUGCUGUGAGGCAUUGAGCUAACUGAUACUAAUUGCCCGUGAGGCUUAACCAUACAACACCCAAGGGGUUU
rnacentral:rRNA from 1 species